ACAAGCAGCUUUGCUUUUCCAUGAUCAAGCUGCUAGAGAUUUUGGGGUGAGGGAGCGAAAUGAAGGCUAAAUAAAAGAACCGGAGAUAAGAUAAUCCUGCCAUGUUAAAAGAUAUGGUGUAAUAAAGAUGCCAACCUGAUUGAUCAGGAGACUGGGGUCCUAGAGUGCCGGAGUUCAACAGCUCUGCUCCUUGUUGGGACACAGUGGCUGUGGCAACGCUCUGGUCUUUGUGGAGAGAGGAGCCUGGUGUCAGCAAAGGCAGCAGGGGGAAAUCUGAACAAAGACAGACGGAGAGGAUGCUGUGCGACAAUGGAAGCAGAGAUUGGAGUGAUACACCUACAAACAAAGGAAUCCGAAAGACUGCUGGCAAUUGCCAGAGACUAGGACAGAGGGAUGGUACAGAUUCUCCCUCAGUGCCUCCAGAAGGAACCAAUCCUGCCGAAACCUUGAUUUUGGACUUUCAGCUUCCAGAAACAGUAAAUAUACAUUGUUUUAAGCUAUCCAGUUUGUGGUGACUUGUUAUGGCAGCCCUCAGAAACCAAUACAGUAAUUUCCACAUCAUCAGUCU
rnacentral:lncRNA from 10 species